GCUCUGGUGGCCUAGUGGUUAGAGCGUCCGCCUCGGAUGCGGGUGGUUGUGGUUUCGAUUCCCGGUGAAUCAGACCA